CUUGGUUCAUUUUUCUAAAUCAUAUAUUUCUUCUUUGUGUGUCACCUAAAUUUGUAGAAAAACGGGACCCAUUUCUUUGUAGACUUUGCGACUACUCUUUCUAGUCGACCACGAAUAAGUUAAAGAUAAAAUCCUUUUCAGAAUUAUUAUCAACCUCUUCUUUUUCUUUUUAUCCUUUUUCCUUUUUAUGUGGGCACCUAUACUCUUCAAUUCCUAGUUAGUAUGAACGCACGAG
rnacentral:lncRNA from 1 species